UACGUAGGGUGCAAGCGUUGUCCGGAAUUAUUGGGCAUAAAGGGCUCGUAGGCGGUCCAUCGCGUCGGGAGUGAAAAGCUGGGGCUUAACCCCAGUCCUGCUUCCGAUACGGGUGGACUAGAGGUAGGUAGGGGAGAUCGGAAUUCCUGGUGUAGCGGUGAAAUGCGCAGAUAUCAGGAGGAACACCGGUGGCGAAGGCGGAUCUCUGGGCCUUACCUGACGCUGAGGAGCGAAAGCAUGGGAAGCAAACAGG
rnacentral:rRNA from 1 species